rnacentral:misc_RNA from 1 species
ACAUCUUUUGAGUUUUGUUCACGUGUAUACACCACACACAGCAAAGAGAGACAAUUUUCUCAUAUAUAUUCAGUUAAUCAGUGAUCUCCCUAUAUUUAACUGCACAUCAGGUCCUCUAUCACCAGAACCUGAGAAAUCCUCAGGCAAUGGGAUAUUUAGUUCUGAACAAACAAGCUGAACAAUUUUUCUUGUCACACCCCCGAAUGACAUUUUGUUUAGUGUCACUGCAAUGGCAAACCUGUUCUUGAUAUCGCAAAAACCUGUGGAUCCACCCAUGCCCGAGUGCCCAAACCCACUAAAUGAUCCAUCAUUUAAACUAGCCCUCCUAAAUCCUAGUCCAAAUUUUCCUUUUCGCAUGGCCAAAUUCUCAUACUCACCCACGCCCAAAAAUGAAUCAUGAAUCCUAGGGUUAGUAAAAAUCCCCUGAACAUUAUUUUUUUGAGCAACAUCACUGCUUGCAAAGCUGUCAGCUACACUGGCAUUACUGGUAUUCCUACUGGAAUCGGAAGCAAGCCUAGUGUAGCCAUCAUUGCUACUCUUUCUAUUAUUUUCACCAUCCUUGAAAUCUUUACUAGAAUUCCUCGAGUGGUCAUGGUGAUCAUUACGUUUGUUCUUUGAAGAAGUGGCCACCUCAUUACUUUUACCUUUAUGCUUUUUAGAGGUCUUCUCAGAAGGAAACUUGGGAAUGUGGGGGUGGCUACCAAGUGGAGGAUUGGAGAGAGAGGAAUGUGACGGUGGGAUCAUGCCUCCAU